rnacentral:rRNA from 1 species
GACGAACGCUGGCGGCGUGCUUAACACAUGCAAGUCGAACGGAAAGGCCCUGCUUUUGUGGGGUGCUCGAGUGGCGAACGAGUGAGUAACACGUGAGUAACCUGCCCUUGACUUUGGGAUAACUUCAGGAAACUGGGGCUAAUACCGGAUAGGAGCUCCUGCUGCAUGGUGGGGGUUGGAAAGUUUCGGCGGUUGGGGAUGGACUCACGGCUUAUCAGCUUGUUGGUGGGGUAGUGGCUUACCAAGGCUUUGACGGGUAGCCGGCCUGAGAGGGUGACCGGCCACAUUGGGACUGAGAUACGGCCCAGACUCCUACGGGAGGCAGCAGUGGGGAAUAUUGCACAAUGGGCGGAAGCCUGAUGCAGCAACGCCGCGUGCGGGAUGACGGCCUUCGGGUUGUAAACCGCUUUCGCCUGUGACGAAGCGUGAGUGACGGUAAUGGGUAAAGAAGCACCGGCUAACUACGUG